UUCUCGAAUUGAGGCGGACUGAAGGAAUUGGCUAAGAUAUUCAUUUUUCCAUCAUCCUUCCUGCUGAGUUUUUGUUGAUAACUCUUCAAUUUUCAACCAUCUUUCAUUCAUAGUUUAAGCCGCCUUACAUUUCCUUUUUGUCUAACUUUUGUUACUUCCUUUUAAUAAUUCGCCACCUAUAGCGGAAAUUAAAAUAUUCAUUCACCCUUUUUUCACUCUUUUAUGAAUUUGUUCAAAAUGGCCAAUAACAACAAAAUUUUGAUCGUCAUUAUAGAUAGCAUUAUAACAAAAAUUGUACCGAAAGAACCCAACAGCGUGAAGUGGCGGUUUUUGAGGCUGAUAAUUUCUCUAGUAGUAUAAAAUAAUGAAAACAGCCCAAUCGUAAAAAGGGGAAUAUACGAGCUGAAUUUUCAUUGAUGCAUUUUUUAAAUCGUAACCAACCACCUUUUUUAAGGAUUGUGCUUUGAUUAUUUACUACUAUCAUCGAGUGAUUUUAUUUCAAACACACGUUUUCUUUUUUUGCAUUCACUCCCAGGAAUUGAGAUUGCAAUGUGCGAUGAAGCUCCUAUAAUUAUACCGUGACAAAAUAUCUCCGAAGUUAGACCAAAAAUUGCCUAAAGACUUUCAACUGAUAUUCAUUUUUGGUCGAGUUACUGAAUUUUUGCUUCUUGGUUUGUUUUCCGUAUCGCCUUUAGGAAAAUUUCUCUGAUUACAUUAAAAUUUUAGUUGUAGUUUCCUACAAGGUUGCAAUUAACAUAAAUUAAUUCCUCCAGCAUUUUUAAGGCUGCAUUUGAAACACGAAGCAAAACAACCUGUGAUUUUUGUUUCAUUCACCCUUACAAAGUGGUUUAUACAAGGAAGCAAAAUCGAUUGAACGUUUUUACGACCUUUUUAUUUUUCAUGCUGUCAGAGGAAACUUUUUGGGACGGAAUCAGUUUAAUUCCCUUUUUAUGCUUCCCUAAGGACAACAAAGAUGUCUUUGUUUUUUUCCCGGUCAGCCAAUUUUGCACGAUAUCUUGGCAUCAAAAAUUGAAGUGAAACACCGCAUCUAAAGAUUUAUAAUGGUCGGCUUAUUUUCUUUUGAUUUACUGUACCUUUUUAUAAUUCAAGUUACCACUAAGUUGCUAAAGGUCUCUCUUGUUCACACUUGAAAAUUUCUUCAAAAAAUACCUGCUUCUUUUUCCUGAUACUUUCUCCUCUUGAGAAUUGAGUUAGAGAUAAACACCAGCGAUUUGCUUUAUUUUUAUUCCAUUUUAAAUAGUUAUCGGCCAUAAUUGUGAACUAAUAUACUUCAUCGCAUUUCAGAUUAUUCCCCAUUUCGCUUUAUUUCUGACCCUGAUUGUUGUAAAUUCCGUCGAACUACAAGGUUGUUUCUCUUUUUAAAGUUGGUGCUCAAGCGUCCUUACCAAAGUCUACCUCAAAAGUUGAGCUUUUAGAGUUGGUAUGUUCAUUUAAACAUAUCUGCGCUUCAUAAACGCCCGAGUUAUAGUCCUCACAACCAAAUUGAUAUCCACAUUGUUAUUUACAGCCCGGUUUUUCACUGAUAUUUUACAUUUCUUUUUGAGUUCAACGACAUCAAAGUUUUUGACUGAUCUAUGUAAAUUGGUGCCCAUUUGUUAUGUGUAAUUCCCUUGUGUAAGGGUACUAUACUUAAUCAUAUUCUAUCAUCUACUAUGAAGAGCUUCUUUGGAUUUUUGGCUGUUGUCUUCACUGUUAUCGGUGUAUGUGGAAUCCUUCUGGUCGGCCUGGUAGGGAUCAUUUGGGGUCCAUUGUGUCUUACAACCCACAUGGAGACCAGAUCACACCUCGGCUGCGGAAUAAUAGUCAGAGACCUGAAAACUGCCAUCGCUUUACUAGUCUGUGGAGUUGUAGUUCUAUCACUAGGAGUUAUUGUCAUCACAGUCGAGUGUUUAGACAGGAAAAACGAAGAGGAGAAAAAUCAGAAUACGAUGAAUAAUGCAGAAAAUGGCAACAGACUCCAAAACAGCGGAAGUUACAGAGCUGUUCCGAAAAGCAGCGUAGUCACUAUGUCAAACGACCUCGACGUUGUUUAGAUUAGAUUCAUAUUUAUUCAUGGAUUCUCUUUAACUAUCCCACUUUUUGCAG